rnacentral:lncRNA from 1 species
UUGGUGUCUAUUUUUAAUUGUCGCACUAUUGGUGCUGACUGUUGAUGUUAGGUAGGCAGCUACAGUAGCUGAAUGAUGUUAACAUCUUCGGGUUUUGUUUCAUUAAAUGCAUUUAAUUUCAUCUGGGUGCUUGCGUUACCUACUAACACCCUGGUACCCGUAGCUCCCGUUCUCCUCAGUCCGAGAAAACACUGAGAGAAAGGUAUGUGUUGCAGAUUACUCCUUUGUAGAAGUCCAUAACGUGAAAUAAAUAAAACAUCCCAAGAUUAAUGCUGUAUAUAUUGUUAUAAGUUAGUGUGAGAUUAUUGAAACAUGUAACUUUCAGAGUUUUAUUAUUGUUAUUAAUAUAGUUUACAAAGUGCUAAAAGUGCUGCUGUUGCUAGCUAGCAUGCCUUUCUGUGAUGCAGAUGGUUAGCUGAGCUGUCGACUGGUGCUUGCGUUGCAUUAUGGGAGAUGUAGUUUUGGCCCUCUAAGGUCUGAAUGGGAAAGAGACAAUUUCACGUUUUACUUGUUUGUGUUGCAGUGUUUUUGUACAUGAGUUGUAUUUUGGUACUGUAUUUUGGUACUGUCAACACUGAAAGCACCUAGCAAUGUAUUGGGUAUGUGUUUUACCUUUCUUCAUGCUCCUGUGUAGAACAACUUGUCAGAUGGUGCAUUGGAGACUGAUGUGUUCCUGUUCUGUCUUUUCAUAAUACCAUUGCAGGUGGACUCCAAUCAAGUUGUAGGAACAUCUCAAGGAUGACCAAUGGAAACAGGAUGCACCUGAGCUCAAUUUCAAGUCUCAUAGCAAAGGGUCUGAACAAGGUACUUCAGAUUAUUUUUUUUUUGCCAACAUUUCUAAAAACCUGUUUUCGUUUUGUUAUUUUGGGGUAUUAUGUGUAAAUUGAUGAGGAUUUAGUUUUAUUUAAACAAUUUUAGAAUAAGGCUGUAAUGUAACAAAAUGUGGGAAAAGUCAAGGGGUCUGAAUACUUCCGGAAUGCACUGUGUCAUACUCUGCUUCCACCGGGCAUUCCACUGAUUUUAAAACUCUGUCCUUCAGCAAGACUUAUGCAGUUCUUCGUAAUUUGUUUCAAAAUAGCAUAGUUAGAAAGGAUUACCUACACAUCCUGAGCAGCUCAUGUUAUAGACAGAAGCGUGCAACAUGGGUUCCUUUCUUCCUGUCUUUUUCAGUGUCUAAACCAACUAGGCUCGUAUUAACAAUUUUAUUAGUAUUUACAGAUGGCAUACAAGUUUGUUGUUGAGGCACAUGAAAGUUCACAUUUUCCAGAAGGCAUUUCUGCCAAAAAAUGCAUUAUGCAAAAUAAAAUAUUGUUUACAUUCAAAUGCCUCUCCUGUAGAGUAGCGACGCAAGACAUACGCUUAGUUUCCUGAAAUGAGUAACAGUUGUCAAAAGUACAGAGAUGUGAUCAAUGUAUUCGUUCAUACAAGCACAAAUGACUCCAUCAGGUCAGAUCUAAUCCUGCUUGCCCAGUUCUGGCACCCGUAUCCAGACAGAGGUUUGGUGUUUGCAGGGAUGGUACAGUAAAUGGGGGGCCACCUCGUCCCCCAAAAGCCUACGGGGGGCACCGCUGAGACAUUUAAAUGCCAAACACUUUUCGGAGGGGGAAAUUUGCCAGGAGUCCAUGGUUUGGAGGGAUGGAGUCACACGUCACACAUUCUGUGGCAUGUCACAGAUCACAUCAGGCCCCAUUAAUUGUAUGUCUUUUCUCAACAUCCUAUAUACAAUUGUAGGUUAAUGAUUUCUUAACAGAUUAUUUGGGCCUGACAUUUAUAGCAUGCUAAAUGGGGUUUAGUAUAUGACUAACAAUCAAAUGUAAAGACACAGAUAUGCAAUUUGGUUGUAUUAUCCCUGUAUCAUUGUUGAGAACAGAGCAUUUAUUUAUUAAUGUGAUCAGCAGAUUCUUUUAACUCUUCUGCAAGCUGCUCUGUGGAUGUUGUUGGUUCAUCAGAUUCUGAUGACACUGUUACUCUGACACAAAGUCCUAGCAGAAACAGGAGAGCAGAGGAAGAUAGUGCAGCCAAAGUAAGCCUUUCAUUAUUUGCUUUGAUUGUCUUUUUUAUCAUUCAAAACUGUAUUGAUCUUCCUGAGGUUCCAUCUUUGUGAUGUUGGGUUGGCCUACUCCCGGUGAGUUACAUAGUAUGUAGGCUUUUUUCAGUCCUGCUCUUAUCGACUUAAAUCAUCUUGGAAGAUCCUAAUGUGCAGCUUAGUGAUAUAGCCACGUGUUGGAGCAGGGCUGAAAGCAAUGCUUGCACAGUAGCUCUCCAGGAGGAUGGCUGGCUAACACUGAGCUCUUUCUCAAUUUGUCUAUCCUUGUCUCCUUGUGUCCUUGUCUCAUCCUUCUGAAAACCAACUACGGAACAAUGAAUUAGGAGAUGAGCAUUGGGUCUUAUUAUCAAAUGUGAUUUGAGAAGCAGGCGAGGAAUCACAAAAACAUAUUUUGAGAAAGAACACUGGUGUACUAGGGUCUGUUUCUGUUGUGCCUUUUGUUAGAUUAUUGAGGACAUUCUCCAGUGAAAAGCUGGAGGGGAAAGGAUCAUGAACAAGUGUGCUCGGACAAAAAGCUUGACUGACCGCACCAGACGUAAUACGAUCAAUCUAGUCAUUAUUAUUAUUUUUGGUUCAUAGCAAGUCCCGCACGACAUGUGAAGGAAGCAUAUGCAAGAGGAAUAGUUUCCUUCUUUCCGUACCUGGCCGACCCCAAAAGCAAGACUGACUAUGCCGCAACAAGCCGGGAAAGAUGUCAGCAAGACACGCAGCUGAACAUCUUGUGAAGUUCAUGAAGGUAAUGGCUUCCUGAAGUUCUCCAAGCAGCUGAUUGGUCAGCCCCAUUGCUGAUUGGAGAGCUGACCCCGCCCCCUCGUCAGGACGCAGCUGUCUCAAUUAACAACCCCAAUAUAAGCCAGUGUGCUGUUGCUCAGAGAAAGAGAGAGACACAGAGAUUUUUGCUGAGAGAGGAGGUUGAUGGCAGAGGGUUAUAUAUAUAUAUAUAUAUAUAUAUAUAUAUAUAUAUAUAUAUAUAUAUGUAUGUAUGUAUGUUGGUUGUUUCUCAGAAAGAGAAUUGGGUAUGUACUGAGUUAGUUGUUGCUGAGAAAGCUUAUUGUUAUGUUCUGUGUUUAGUGCUCAGAGUUUUCUUUAAUGUCCUGGGUUAGUGUUUUCUCAGGUUUUGUUGUAAAGUAGUUUGUACAUUUGUGUUACUCUGUUUCAUUUGUUCCCAGAGGGGAAGGGGAAGGCACCUAGGCAGUGCUUAGGCAAGAGGCCCGCGGGCAUACAUAUACCGUAGUAAUUUAUUGUCUAUGCACACUAGGAAAGACCUGGGCGGACCAUCCCCUGUAUUUUGGUUAGUGCACCAGGUGGUGCUAGUUAGGUAAGUAGUGGGUAGGCAGGUAAGGUAGGAGAGGGGGCUUUGAUAUUUAGUUUCUUUGCUUUGGUUCGGUCCAGCCCCUUUUCCCCAAACUUACCGCGUGAAGGAAUAAAUUCCCAG